rnacentral:misc_RNA from 1 species
GAACUGUGAUAAGUAAUGUGAAUUGCAGAAUUCAGUGAAUCAUCGAGUCUUUGAACGCACAUUGCGCCCCCCGGCAUUCCGGGGGGCAUGCCUGUCCGAGCGUCAUUGCUGCCCUUCAAGCCCGGCUUGUGUGUUGGGUCGUCGUCCCCUCCGGGGGACGGGCCCGAAAGGCAGCGGCGGCACCGCGUCCGGUCCUCGAGCGUAUGGGGCUUUGUCACCCGCUCGAUAAGGACCGGCCGGGCGCCAGCCGGCGUCUCCAACCUUUUUUUCUCAGGUUGACCUCGGAUCAGGUAGGGAUACCCGCUGAACUUAAGC